UGAGGAAUAUUGGGCAAUGGGCGAAAGCCUGACCCAGCGACGCCGCGUGUGGGAUGACGGAGCUCUGCUUCGUAAACCACUGUCGGAGGGGAAGAAAAGCUUCCAACGGGAAGCUGGGACUGUACCCUCAGAGGAAGGAUCGGCUAACUACGUGCCAGCAGCCGCGGUAAAACGUAGGAUCCGAGCGUUGUCCGGAAUCACUGGGUGUAAAGGGUGCGUAGGCGGGCUUGCGCGUCAAGGGUUAAAGACCUCGGCUCAACCGAGGCAAUGCCCUUGAUACGGCUAGCCUUGAGUGCGGGAGAGGAUGGUGGAAUUCCUGGUGUAGCGGUGAAAUGCGUAGAGAUCAGGAGGAACACCGAAGGCGAAGGCAGCCAUCUGGACCGCCACUGACGCUGAGGCACGAAA
rnacentral:rRNA from 1 species